AUACGGAGGAUGCGAGCGUUAUCCGGAUUUAUUGGGUUUAAAGGGAGCGUAGGCGGGAGCUUAAGUCAGCGGUUAAAUGGUGCGGCUCAACCGUGCCCUGCCGUUGAAACUGGGUUUCUUGAGAGUGCAAGAGGCGGAUGGAAUUCAUGGUGUAGCGGUAAAAUGCUUAGAUAUCAUGAAGAACUCCGAUUGCGAAGGCAGUCCGCUGGGGCACGUCUGACGCUGAUGCUCGAAGGUGCGGGAAUCAAACAGGAUUAGAUACCCUGGUAGUCCGCACGGUAAACGAUGAUUACCCGCUGUCGGCGGCAGACAGUCGGCGGCCAAGCGAAAGCGAUAAGUAAUCCACCUGGGGAGUACGCCGGCAACGGUGAAACUCAAAUGAAUUGACGGGG
rnacentral:rRNA from 1 species